CACGUAGGGGCCGAGCGUUGUCCGGAGUUACUGGGCGUAAAGGGCGCGCAGGCGGCCACGUACAUCUCUGGUGAAAGCCCCGGGCUCAACCCGGGAGGGUCCAGGGAGAUGGCGUGGCUGGAGGCAGGGCGAGGGCGGUGGAAUUCCGGGUGUAGUGGUGAAAUGCGUAGAGAUCCGGAGGAACACCAGUGGCGAAGGCGGCCGCCUGGACCUGACCUGACGGCUGAGGCGCGAAGGCGUGGGGGAGCGAACGGGG
rnacentral:rRNA from 1 species